AGCAGCCGCGGUAAUUCCAGCUCCAAUAGCGUAUAUUAAAGUUGUUGCAAUUAAAAAGCUCGUAGUUGAAUUUCGGGAUCAAGGAAUCGGUCAUGCCUUGGUAUGCACUGGUUUCAUUGAUUCUCACCUUCUAAAGAACCAUAAUGUCAUUUAUUUGAUGUUAUGGGGAAUUAGGACUGUUACCUUGAAAAAAUUAGAGUGUUUAAAGCAGGCUUACGCUUGAAUACAUUAGCAUGGAAUAAUGAAAUAGGACAUCAGAUUCUAUUUUGUUGGUUUCUAGGAUCGAUGUAAUGAUUAAUAGGGAUAUUGGGGGCAUUAGUAUUCAAUUGUCAGAGGUGAAAUUCUUGGAUUUAUUGAAGACUAACUACUGCGAAAGCAUUUGCCAAGGAUGUUUUCAUUAAUCAAGAACGAAAUUAGGGGAUCGAAGACGAUCAGAUACCGUCGUAGUCU
rnacentral:rRNA from 1 species